rnacentral:lncRNA from 1 species
UAAUGAUGAAUCAUUUGGGUCGAGUGCUAAACAAAGACUGAGAGAUCGAGAAAUAUUUUUUUUGCUUACCUUGGGAUGCAGUCAACUGCUACAUAGACAUCUUUUACUUGCAAUGUCACUGAUCUAUCAUCCUGCUUUAACAUCAGGUUCCCUUCCCAAUCUAGGCUUCCACUACUGUCACCUGUGCCAGCCUCCUGAACAAGCAUUGCUUCCACCAUUUCUCCAGCAAGGUAAAGAAAGACUCCAACUUUUGUGACUUAAUUGGUGUCUUGUUGUGAUCACUGACUGUACCUGAUGGAUAUGGCCUCGAAUUUUUAAUCUUGAUUAUGGUUUCAGUUUCAGUUUUUCAGAUUGUAAUGGGAUCUAGAUUCUAGAGACUCUAUUCAGUUGCAAUUAUUAAGCCAUUUGCAUUUUGGAAACCUUCAGUUUAUUUCCAACUCUUGACUAACAGCUGACAAUUAGGACUUCACAUUCAUUACUUAAUUUAUUUCUGUGUGCAAUUAUUCUCUGCACCCUAGAGCUUGCUGUUGACAAAGGAAAUAGCAGUCACGGCCAUUGCCAAUCUCUAGUUGUUGCCUGAUUGGCUUAUUGCUUUCUUUUCAAACUCUUUGUGUAUCAAAAUCUCUCGUUAAGUUUGAUGAUGGUUCCAUAUGUCUUAUGGAUAUUACAAUGUAUGCAUCAGUCAGCUUAAUCAUUUUCUUUUUGGCAGGGGAUAGAAUAAUGAUGCAUGAUGGCCAGAAGUAUGAUAUUUUGUAGAAUUGAUUGCUGGUUCCUGCUACUGCUGCUAUCAAUCUUGUACAAAGCAUUUUGAAAAAUGCAUUUGAUGCAAUUUUGUGCUUCCUAAUUUUGUCCGUCUGUAAAUUUAACCAUUUCUGGGACAAAAAUAUGGGCUGCUGAUUGGGCCACAUGUGCCAUGUAAAUUAGUCUCGGCCCAGAAUGGGAUAGUAUGUACAUAUGAAUUUUGCUUGAAAUUGCCUCGGAAUUACAGUGCUUAUUACAUAAGAUUGGC